rnacentral:piRNA from 1 species
UUCAUCACUGCCCUGACUGUCCUGGUUGC